CAGGCCAAGAAUUUACUUAUAGCACCCGAAACUAAACCAAACCGGCCGUUUUAAAGAGUGGUUUCGGAUCCAGGAUAGGUCGGACUAGGCCAGUUCUGCCCUAACCCUUGAAAUGUAGUCACGAGUCACGAUGAUUGGAUUGGAGAGGAAUGAGUUCUUCGAUCCUUCACCACCGGAUUCUGAAGAGCUUCAUGCCUUACAGUUGAGGACAUCCUCGUCGAUCGAAUCGUUACCAGACGGCUGCUUGCUCAAGAUCUCAUGUAAAGAGAUGGUGGAAGGUGAGCUCUGCAGUUUGUUGGAUUGGAUGGGGAGAAGAGAUCUGCAGGAUUCAAUCUUGUUUGUAGGGGUUGAAGAUCAAUAUGAUAAUAACGGAAUACUGUGGAAUGUACUGAUAUGAAUUGCUGAAGAAAAUCAAGGAAUCUUCGACCUUCAGAGAGAUUCUAAUGGUGAUUAUGUCGUUGGAAAAGUUCUUGGCACGAAUCGACAGAAAUGCAAUAUUCUUACUUUGCAUGGGAAAACUAAAGUGGAUUACACAACCUUUUGACACUCUUGAGGUGCUAUGGAGGUUUUCGAGAAAUAAAGGAAAAAAAAUUCUCAGAGCUGCAAAGGGAGGCUUGCUCAAACAAAACUUCUCUUAGAAGGGAAAAAGAAAAUCUUCAUGGCACCUAGGGGGUAUCAUCACCAACUUCCAGUUUUCCAUUCCAAGUAAGAAUACUAUGCUAGAUUCAGCAACAAGGUAAAAGAGUAAUUUAAUAUCUUGUUUGAAAUACAUGCUAAAUGAAGUGAAAUACACACCAAUUAAAGAUCAUAGGUGAAACAAAUGUAAUCUUUGUCUCACAUCAUGAAAUCCAAUAGGAGGUGGAGAAAGGGGAAAUUGGUGAGGUGGCAACGACCACCAUGGUUGUGGAUAAAAGUGUAAUCUUUUAAUUGAUUACAAGAUUAUUCUAAGAGACCUUUGAAGGAAGCUUGAAGAUAAGAUUUGUAUAAAGACUUCUUGUUUUCAAACUUUUGAUCUUUCAAGAUGCUCUCAAGAAUCAUUAGAAUUUCUCUGUUCUCAAGCUUUGUUCAAGUGAUUGGAAGAAGAAUGGCAACUAACAAGUGUUGGACUAUCAUUGAAGUUUUGCAGGAGCUUACUUCAUCUUAUUCCACAGCCUUCUAACAGCACUUGGCCACUUCUUUCCUUAUUUGUUUUUUGAGAAAUAUAUUCUAAUUUCAGCUUGAUUCCAUAUUUGUAUAAAUGCAUAGACUAUAAUCCUGCUAUGAGGUGUAUAUGGAAAUUCGCUAAUAGUGCUAGUUUAGGGAUAUUAUAUUCCUUUUGUGAUCAUGAUGUAAUGAUGAACCCUUUACCUUAAUAUUUAAGCCAUAUUCUCAUUAAAAGAAAAAAAAGAAUGAUUGGAAGAAGAGCCUUCUAUUUACUUCAUCUUCUAUUUAUAAAAAAAUGAAGUUACUUUUGUUUUUCUGUCUUCUUUGUUUAUGAUUAUUAUUUGGAUUAUUUGCCAUUAAUGUUCUUUGUUGUAACAUUUUUCCAGAUAAUAUUGUUGUGUCCUGCUGCUUCUUUGACUGGGAGAAUUUCCCAUUGAUCUCUCUUUGUGCUAGUGAUGCUGUUGAAAAUUACUUUGGAAAUGAGGGGUGUUUUUUGUCGUCUUUGAUUGUUGAUCUGAAAUUGAGGAGAUGGUAAAGAUGAAAAUCUCUUUGGGUUUUAAUGAUUUCAUCUGAUAAUAUUGUCUCUGCAAGAUCCAUCGAGAUGAAGACUCAUAGGCAAAGUGGAUUUAAUUUGUUCACUCUUCCGAGGUGGAGGAAAAUAACCUUAGUCCAAAAUGAUAAUCGAUGGCUAACUCUGCCAACUAUUGCCAUGAUGCCAAUGUGUGGAUGGCUUUCUUACAAGAUUUUUUAUGGAAGCACUAUUUUUUGGUUUCAAAAACAGGUUCAUCUUCUGCCAUCCGAACCAGAACCAAAUUUUUUUUUUUCCUCAUUGGUUUGACUUGCAGGUGGAUUGACAAGUUCAAUGGCUACUGGAUUAGACAACUAGACUUGUCUAAUCAUUUUGUAUCUGAUGAUGUUUCUGCUGUAAAUCAGCCCCCCGAUGAUGGCUUAUGCUGUAUCCAAAGUUCAGGGAGAGUAAUAAGCUGAAAAAAAAAAAAUUAAAAGCAAAACAGAUAACACAUUUCACAGAACGAGCUUGUUGAAUGGUAAAUCUCUUAGCUGCCAUUGUCAGAAACUUGUUGCAGAUUUCAGGUGGCUAUAAUACCAAGAAGCCAAGAAAGAAAUAAAACACCCUUGCCUUCUGCCUAUUGAGUUGUAACUUAAAUAUCAGAAUCCAGCGUAAUUUGGUUUUAGACAUUUUGAAGCAAGAGUCUCUGUAUUUGAGUUGUUUAAAGGACAUAACAGAAGGUCAUGGCCGUAUGACUGCGUACCAUCACCAUUUGCGGCUCUUGAGAUCAUGGUGGGCAACGUACCAGAAUCCCUGAGAAGCAUCCAAUAAUAUUAACAAUAACUGAGUUGUGGCCAUCAGUGGUUAGGGGGUGUUUUGUUCGGUAAAUCAAAUGGUGUAUGUAUCAGAUAUGGAUGUUAAUCUUUCGAUGGACAUUGUGUUUCUUGCUGAAAAAUCGUUUGGUUGCCUCAAGUCUAGAACAUGUUUCUUAUUGGAAAACUGUUGGUUACCUUAAAUCUGUAUAGUGAUUCAUAAUGUAAAACUGUUUGGUUAUCUUAAA